rnacentral:rRNA from 1 species
AGCUCCAGUAGCGUAUAUUAAUGUUGUUGCAGUUAAAAAGCUCGUAGUUGGAUUUCUAGCCGACAUGCGUGGUCCGUGUCACUUGGUGACAUGAGUACCGCAGCGUGUCGUCUAUCCUAUCCGUUGCCUCUUGGCUUCGGUCGAGAAGGACUUGACGGAUUCUUUUACUUUGAAAAAAUUAGAGUGUUUAAAGCAGGCUUGCGCCUUGAAUACAUUAGCAUGGAAUAAUAACAUAGGACUUCGGUCUCUAUUUUGUUGGUUUCUGGAACUGAAGUAAUGAUUGAUAGGGAUAGUUGGGGGUGCUAGUAUUUAGCGGCCAGAGGUGAAAUUCUCGGAUUCGCUAAAGACUAACUUAUGCGAAAGCAUUCACCAAGGAUGUCUUCUUUAAUCAAGAACGAAA